rnacentral:lncRNA from 1 species
GCCCCACCGCACCCGCUCGCCGGUGUCGAGGUGGAUAAGCCUCCCCGACGCCUCGGUCUCCUCCUCCCCUGUCACUCCCAGUUCCCCUCGCCUGCUCCGCCUCUCCCUCUCCCCACCAGAUCCCCCUAGCUCUCCCUCUCCCUAGCUCUUUCUUCCCCUCUGCCCGAGCUCCUCCGAGCAGGCUCAUCGCCGUCCGCCGCUCACAGACGCGGCCAUCGUCGACUCCGCGACCAGCUGAGCAGCUCGGAAGCUCCGCCGGCCUCUCCCUCUUCUCGUGGAGCUCUCAGGCAAAGCCGGGGAGGCCCGCAUCGAUGUCAGCAACCGAUCCCCUUUUCGGCCACUGUGCGUCGUCACCGUUCAACUCCGGCAUCGUCGUGCGCUACUAAGCUCCCGAAGGCCUCCGUGCGCCGCUCGGUGAGCACCCGCACCCCUUCUCCUUCCCCUAGGCGCUCGCGUAGCUCUUCUAACUAGCUGCUGCACUGUCACCGCCGUGACCGAGCUCUUCUCGCCGCCGCUGAGAUCCAUGCUCACCCCUCUGGUGCGCCUCGAGCUCGUUCGAGCACGUCACCGUGUUCGGUGGGUCACUAGGGUCGCAUAGCACCGAUCCAUUCAUCCAAACGAGCACCGCAGCUACUGGCACCUCGAAGUCGUGGCUCCUGCCCCUCCACGAGCUCGCUUUCGGCGAGCUCGGGCCUCCCCGCGACUAGCUGCCCGCGCCAUUCCCAGCUCUCGGUAGGGCCAAACGGCGCCCCGAAUGGCUGCCUGUGGGCGAAAUCCGAACGUCGCCGCCUCUCUGUCGCUCGCCGGAGAUGUGCCGCCGCGUGCCGCCUGCCAGGCCAUUAGGGCCUAAUCUCCCUCUAACCCCGACGACACGUGGGCCCUGGUACUGUAGCAUUAGAUUUAACUUAACUAACCUAUUAACUAACCGGGUCAUUGACAACCGGGCCCCACCUCACUAAUUAUCUAGUUAGAUUAAAUAAAACAUGUUUAAAUUAAACUGUCAUUGUCAGCCGGGUCCCAGUGGACCCGGUUGACUAGUCAAUAUGUUGACUGGGCAGGGCUUAGUCUAUGACAUGUGGGACCCUUGGGACCCUUUGACCAGUCAAUAGUCUCAGUUGACUGCUGACUGGGCAGUCAACUGGGGCCACUGUCAGCCUCUGUGCUGCUUUGUUGUGUACAUCUUGUGUGUGCACGAAGUAAUUUAACCUUUAUUCCGAAUUAGUAUUAAUCCAAGAAAUUAAUAAAAUCUUUAAAAAUCCAUACAAAAUAAACCGUAGCUCAGAUCAAAAAAACUUUAUACAUGAAAGUUGCUCAGAAUGACGAGACAAAUAUAACCGUUUGUUUCCAUGUCGAAACCCUCUACGUAGGUGAACCUGUAACUUUACUUUCGUUUUCGGUAAGUGAAUAGUUCAUAUGAACCGGUUAAUAAAUCCAACUUGAAUCCUAAAAUAACUAAUAUGACUUAGACAUGUCUUUAGGCAACCAUGCACUGCAUCAUAGCAUAGCAUGCUAUGUGUUGCAUAUGAUUGUUGUCUAUUUAUCUGUUUCCUCACCCUCUUCUCUCUUGUUAGACCCUGACGUCGACGUAGCUCUAGAGACCGGCGCAACUUCGAAGUAUGACUACGCCCCUGACGAUUAGACCCUUGCCGCCGAGCUUCCAGGCAAGCAAACCCUCCUUGUUCAUUCCGAUAUCACACAUUUCUUUCCCUCUCUUGCUUGCAUUAGAACUGCUAUUGCUUUGUAUGAAUCCUAUUCUGAUCCAUAGCCUGUUUUUGUUACCUGCUUAUUCUAAACUGCUUAGUAUAGGUCGGUUAGAGAUCCAUUAGUGACCCCCACCUUGUCCCAGUUGCCCUCGCUUUAUGUUCGAUGACUCGAUCAACGUGAUUGACGUCCAGGCCCCGACACCGCACAUCACCUCCCCUUUAGUUGUACGACUUUGCAGAGUUAUUAUCGAGUGCGGAGGGUGAUACCUCGUCAACACAUCUGAUGUUAACCUUGUAGUGUAGCUAUUCGGUCUUGGUCAUCGAGGGUGAUUCCUCCUUCACCACUCUCGAUAGUGACGCUGUCGUGCAACCCCUCAAGUGGGGACCAUCGAGGGUGAUUCCUCCAAGUCCACCUUGACGGUUAUAUCGAGUGGGAAUCCAUUGAGGGUGAUUCCUCGGGUUCCCCCCUUGCUGUUUCGGACACACGGUUACUUUGACUUACCACAGAACCAUGAUGACAUCGGGUCGGCCCCGAGGGGUACCCGCGAGUGAAGUGAAGUCGGGUUGAUCUGAGGAUACCCGCAAGUCUUCAACGCGGCGCGACCGGGCAUUCUUAGCCCUUGCCGCAAGUCUGUGAGACGGGGCCACGGGACCACAUAUCAUGGAUCAUUGAUCGUUACCGCACUAGCUACCAAGACACUAACAUUUUGGAUAUUUGAUCUGAGUAGGCCUCUAGCCUUUUUCGCACUAACCACCACGUGGGAAUAAUUAUGGGCACUCUGCGUCGUACGAUUCUUUCAAAAGCUCACUAACGUCAGCGACUGAGCGGCGCCCGCCGGGUUGGACUGGAAUGCCUUCUCUUGUAUAAGGGAGGCUAGGUCUGCUCACUAGCCGCAUUCACAACACGCAGGAUUGCAAAGGACGAUUGGCCCAUGACCCUUUCGCAUUUAGGAUGUAGACCGACAUGUUAGCCUCUCUGUUGAGCCUAGGUAGGACUACAACAUGUUGAUCGGCCGAGGUCGGUCAUGACCUGAUGGUGUGUUCGAUUGGAGUUGAUCGAGCGUGUUGGGUAAGUUUGUGCACCCCUGCAGGGAAGAUUGAUCUAUUCAAAUAGUCGGGUCCAUGCUAACGGACGCUCGGAGUUGUAUCCCGAUCGAUACAACUAGAACUGGAUACUGAAUGCUGAGGCAUGUAAUGGAUAUGUGGCUCCGAGAUUGCUUCCCCGUAGGGAGUCGGGGAAGGUCUCUGGGCGUUAUUUCUACAACAUGUUUGUUAAAUAUAAACUACUAUUCUAUACUCUUUUGAUUUUGCAAGAUGCUUGGAGCUGCUUGAAGAUGCUAGUCUUCGAUAGGCUAGGUUUUCCCUUCUGUUCUGGCAUUAUGCAGUUCAGUCCACAGAUACUACCCAUUUCAUUGAUACUGAUGCAUAUGUAGUGUAGAUCCUUGCUCGCGAGCACUUUCGAUGAGUACUCACGUUUGCUUUGCUCCCAUUUUUUUCCACCUCUUCCUUUCUUCUUGGAUGUUCAACCAGAUGGUGGAGCCCAGGAUCCAGAUGCCACCUUCGACGAUGACUGCUACUACACUGAGGUGCCUACUAGUACGCGGAGGCCGCCGACGACCAGGAGUAGUUAGGAGGCUCCUAGGCAGGAGGCCUUGCCUUUUCGAUCGAUAUUGCUUUUGUGCUAGCCUUCUUAAUGCAAACUUGUUUAACUCAUCUAUGUACUCAGAUAAUGUUGCUUCAGCUGACUCGUUUGUAACCGAGCUUAUGUAUUCGAGCCCUCGAGGCCCUUAGCUUGUAAUAUAAAGCUUGUAUUAUUUUAAUUUGUGCCUAGAGUUGUGUUGUGAUAUUUUCCCGUGAGUCUCUGAUCUUGAUCGUACACAUUUGCGUGUAUGGUUAGUGUAUGAUUGAAUCGGGG